ensembl:lincRNA
GAAAAAAGAUCUUCAUUAUACGUCUGCUCAUCAGCAGAACAAAUUCCCAUGGCUCUCUGUUCUAAUCAGGAGGAAGUAAUUUUCCUUUCUCACCUGACCGGUUCUCCAACUUGGCUCUUGAAGCUGACUGCUCUCCAACCCCUCCCUCCAGAGAAUAUUUUCAUCAUAAAGCUAUCAGCUCAAAUGCAUGGCUACCCUUAAGGCCUAGAAGAAUUAAGACAACAGACAUCUGGAACUCCCCAUUAAUACAGAUGUUCUCCACCAGAAGGAGAAUAAUAUGCCCGAGGAAUCCAACCUCCAACUUUUCAGUGAAAUAUUUGCUAUAAGCUAUAAUUUCCGUUCUGAGGAUCUAUCAUAGAAAAUUUUAAC